rnacentral:lncRNA from 1 species
AAAUUAGGACCACUGAGGAGGAGGAAGGGGAGGUUUAGGGGUGCCAGCGAUGCUUCGAUGUAGGUGAUCAAGAACAUGAUGUGAUUGCUGUAGAAUUACUUCCUUAAACUGUGCAUUUGUCUUAUGCAUUUUUUAAUGCUUAAAACACAUUUUAGGAAAAACCGAAGAUAGAUUUUUUUCUUUUUAAGAGUUGAAUUCAAGAACCCUAGGACACUCUUAAUUUGUCCCAGAAGUGUGAAGUCCACCUAGGGCAUAGGCGUGAAGGGCUCCCAGAACCGUACGGUGAGUUUUGAGGCUGGGGUGCCAGGGUGAAGUGCAGCUCAUCCUGGCAGAGCGCACCUGGCCAGGCUUCCGCACCUAGUGGAGCACCUGGGAGGCCUCUCGGAUAAAGCCCCUGGCAGCGUGCGCCCCGCUGCAGCCCAGAUGUGGAGUCCCCGCCGCGGCCCCUUGCUUGCAGGGCAGGUGUGGCCCGAUCGUCCAACUCCCCUCCCCCUCCUCCUCCUCGCCGUGCCCAACCCGCCGACUUCUCCUACUGAGGCUCUUCUUUCAGCCCCUGUCGCCAUGGUCCCAAGCGACCCUCUCGCUCAGCCCAGACCCCUGGAUGCCCAGCUGUCCCACCCCCAUGGGCCCCCGCUGUGGCUACAUGUUGUCUGAAGACGCCUGGGGAAACCCUGUGUUCAGGGCCGCUGUACUGGCCUGUCAUGUGGUCAACCAGAUCUCAAACUUGAUUGCAUGGUCAACCCUGCUCCCGUCUGCCAGGCUCAGGAACUACUUACAAGCUGUAGCAGUUGGUGUUCCAGCAUCCCAGAGGGAGGAAGGUUAUGCUGGUGAGCCACGUGGCCAAUCUGGGCUAUGGCUUCAACAGCUCUGGGGUCUGUAUGUUCCUGCAUUAGCCCUGCUCCAGCAACGAGGCUGA